rnacentral:lncRNA from 1 species
UAGGAAAUAUAGAUGUCACUGAGUCGCUCUUAUAGCUGCAAAUUGUGAAACAAUGGAUUAAUUCAUUAUUUUAUGCUAGUUAUCUAUUGUUUUUGGAAAUAAUGAAUACGGUGUGCAACAUUAUUCCAUGAUGAUGAUGUGAUGUUCUGAUUAAAUUGGACAAGAAGAAAAUUGUGCCUUGUACAAAUAGGAAACUUACAAAUUGUAUUAAAGGAGGACCACAUUACUGGAGGACUAAAUACCUUGGAUUAUCAUGAUAAUUAUUAAUUUGCUAUAUCAAUCAUGAUCAAUUGUGAAUUUGGAAUAACAAAAUUUCAUAGUUGCAGUGCAUAUUAAUAGUGCAAUCAUACAUGUACAUUGUUUCUGUAUUCCAUGAAUACCCAGGAUAAUUAUUCAUUUGAAAUAGCAAUUUGGAAUAAUGAAAAUUCAUAGUUUCAGUGAAUACUACUAAUAAUAGUGCAUCAUAUCUGAAUUCAUGAAUACUUUUAAUUAGUGGAUAAUCAGUCAUUUUAAUAUAAUAACAAUAUGGAUAAUGUGAAUUUCUAGUUUCAGUGAAAUUUACAAAACAGUACAAGUAUAUCACAUCUGAAGUUUAUGUUGGCAUUGCAAUUGUUAACUACCGCCAGCAUGUCCAGGGUGUGUAAAAAGAUCUUAACCAACUAUGAGGGUCUCGUGCAGUCCGUGUCAAUUGUUUAGUGUCAAAUGACUGCUUGCUGUACUUAAAUUAUUAAAGUCUGAAUUAGAAUUAAAUAAAAAUCUUAAUUAGCAUGAUUAGUGGCC